UACGUAGGGUGCGAGCGUUGUCCGGAAUUAUUGGGCGUAAAGAGCUCGUAGGCGGUUUGUCACGUCUGCUGUGAAAUCCCGAGGCUCAACCUCGGGCCUGCAGUGGGUACGGGCAGACUGGAGUGCGGUAGGGGAGAAUGGAAUUCCUGGUGUAGCGGUGAAAUGCGCAGAUAUCAGGAGGAACACCGGUGGCGAAGGCGGGUCUCUGGGCCGAUACUGACGCUGAGGAGCGAAAGCGUGGGGAGCGAACAGG
rnacentral:rRNA from 1 species